GACGUAGGGUGCGAGCGUUGUCCGGAUUUAUUGGGCGUAAAGAGCUCGUAGGCGGCUCGUCGCGUCGACCGUGAAAACCCGCGGCUUAACUGCGGGCUUGCGGUUGAUACGGGCGGGCUAGAGUUCGGUAGGGGAGACUGGAAUUCCUGGUGUAGCGGUGAAAUGCGCAGAUAUCAGGAGGAACACCGGUGGCGAAGGCGGGUCUCUGGACCUGUCCUGACGCUGAGGCGCGAAAGCUAGGGGAGCAAACAGG
rnacentral:rRNA from 1 species